AUAUACUGUAUGACUUAUUUUAUGAGAAAAUAUUUACUUUCACACCUAUUCAUAACUGUAAUUUACAUAUAAAAACUGACUUAAUGACACUUUCCAACUUCCAUCGUGAUCCUACCAUGAGACAGCUGUUUGUUUUUCUUUGCAGAUUAAUUUAUUCUGUUUCUUCCUUGGUGACGGGCACAACCUGAAAGGGCCAGCUGCUGGAAGUAGUCAGAGGAAACUCCCUGAGUUCAAAUCAAGUCUACUGGAUAAGAAAGAAGGGGGCCUUAUAGCCUUCACUACUGGCUGGAUUGAUGGAGAAGUGACAGAUCCAGCAGGACUCGAUUUAUUGUGUCUAUUAUAGAUGCACUAAAUCGACAGCUGAUCACCCUCCUGCUGACUCCAGUACUCCACCAGAAUGAGAAAAAUAGGAGGAGUCGCUAGGAGAGUUUUUUCUGCCAACACAGCGUGAUGUGAACCCCAAGAGAAAAGAAGAAAAUGCAUUCCUCCCCCAUGCUCCUUUGAAGCUGACACUAUGAAAUAUGAGUAUGUCACUAUGAUCCUCUGGGCAAAGCUCCUGGAGAGAAGAGAAUUACAGACAGAGCUGAAUUUAAGGGAGGCUUGCUGAGGUGAUCACAGUUAGUACCCUUGGAGGUGCAGCCAAACGCCCAGUCUGAGAAUGGGAAAAUCAUGUGAUUCCAUCCCAACAGAAGUGAUGGCUCCAGGUCCAGGACUUGAGUGAGAGUGCUCUUCAAGAGUCAGAGCUGGAGUCAGCCCUUAGGCACAAGAGGCAUCCUCCACUGCACAUCACUUCUCACCAAAAAAGGUUCUCUCCACUAGGGCUUCUCAGGUGGAGGUGAAAGGAAAUGAAAGAAUUUAAAGUGGAACCAUUCUAGAGACCAGAGUCUCAUUGAACCCUAUGGUUCUUUAUUAAAAGAAGAUCAGGACUGAAGGGGAUCUGAUGGGAAGAAUCUUAUGAGUGGCCUUCAAAGAAAGGGAGGAGGUAAGAUCAAGCUUCUGAAAGAAAAUAAUCUCUGAUAUGGUUGAAACAGUCAGCGAUUAGCCCUUCACUAAAUUAGCUCCUGAUCUUGGAGGGCACUCAGUGUCUUCCUGGAUUGUACUCUUAAGUUCACAGCAAAGACACCUGCAACCGUAGUGGCUAAAGUCUCCGCUAUGUACUCAGCUCCCUAAGUACUGUGGGGGUUUUUCAACGCUGAACUACAAAAAUAAUCCUGUAUGUUACUGGUCAAAGCAACUGUAAAUAUACUGACUGAAAACAAAUGUGUACAAUGGAGGAUGGUCCAGUGGUUAAACCUAAAUGAGACUGUUUAGAAAGAGUUGUGUGGUAAUGUGUAACCGCUGGCAAUAGCCUGCUCACAGCAACACACUGGCAGACUGGCCUCAUGGGGAUAACAGUGUAAGGCAGAGAGCUGUGUAGCUUCAACACCCGUGGUCAGGAGGGACAGGCAGAAGGACAUCUGCCUAGAGACAUCU